GGGCUUGUGGUUUAGUGGUAUAAUACUCCCUUAGCAUGGGAGUGGUCCGGGUAAGCAUUAGAAGCACCAACAGUCACUGAAUAUCAACUAAUAGUGCAUUCAGGGUUCGAUUCCCCGCGAGUCCA